GACGAACGCUGGCGGCGUGCUUAACACAUGCAAGUCGAACGGAAAGGCCCUGCUUGCGGGGUACUCGAGUGGCGAACGGGUGUGUAAAACGUGGGUGAUCUGCCCUGCACUUCGGGGUAAACCUGGGGAACUGGGUCUAUUACAGGGUAGGAGACCUCUUGCGUGUGGUGGUUGGAUAGUUUUUUCGGUGUGGGGUGGGCUCGCGGCCUAUCUGCUUGUUGGUGGGGUAAUGGGCUACCAAGGAGGUGACGGGUGGCCGGCCGGGGAGGGUGGACGGCCACCUUGGGGCUUGGGUACCGCCCCGGCCCCUACGGGGGGCAAGAGGUGGGAAUUUUGCCCAAUGGGGCCGAGCCUGAUGCAGCGACGCCGCGUGGGGGAUUACCGCCUUCGGGUUGUAAACUCCUUUCGCUAGGUACGAAGCUUUUUGUGACGGUACCGAGAUAAGAAGCACCGGCUAACUACGUG
rnacentral:rRNA from 1 species